AGGGUAAUGGAGAGACGUGUCCAAAAGGUUUUGUAUUGGACACAGCAUCUUACUGUGCCGAUGAGGACGAAUGUGCUGUUGACUCUCCCUGCUCACACUCAUGUAAUAAUAUCAUGGGUGGUUUCUCCUGCGCGUGUCCUUCUGGAUUCACCAUCUCUACCGAGUCCAACACCUGCCGAGAUAUUGAUGAGUGCACCCAAGGUUCCCACUUGUGUCACCC